rnacentral:rRNA from 1 species
UACGUAGGUGGCAAGCGUUGUCCGGAUUUACUGGGCGUAAAGAGCGCGCAGGCGGUCGUUCAAGUCGCGUGUGAAAGCCCCCGGCUCAACUGGGGAGGGUCACGCGAUACUGAUCGACUCGAAGGCAGGAGAGGGAAGUGGAAUCCCCGGUGUAGUGGUGAAAUGCGUAGAUAUCGGGAGGAACACCAGUGGCGAAGGCGACUUCCUGGCCUGUUCUUGACGCUGAGGCGCGAAAGCUAGGGGAGCAAACAGG